AGCGGACGUUUUUACUUUUUGCGACAUCGUGUGGGGUUUUAUCCUCGAGCCCAGAACCGUUCAUAAAACGUGCGAGGAUGUGUGUUGACUGUUGUUGGGACGUCGCCGCCGUCGCGUGAAUCCGUUUUGGUGUGAACAAUCCCCGUAAGCCGAGUUGGACAAUUGUUCAUCCAUAGCAGGGCAACGCCGCCAGGACGGUGGAUAAGGCGAAGACGGCGAGCGCCAGAACCGUGGAAAAGUGUCAUCUUUAUGGAAAAUCGCGCCGUCAGCGGUUUUAAGUGGCGCGCAAAAUCAUAAUAAAAGGCGUGCGAAUGUGCAGAGAACGCGGGUACGGGGAUUGCCUUUUCUGAUUUUUUCCUGGCCUUGAUUUCGGACGAAACUGCAGCCAUAAAAAAGACAUUCAACGUGUGAUCGCCGUUUCGAUUGUCCACCCGAAAGAAGGAAAAACGGACAACAAUGGGUGGUAGCACUGGGCGUGGGAAGGUUCAGUCAUAAUAUCUCUUUGAGAGGGCGCAUCAACAGUGGAAUUAACAGUCAAGAAAAAAAAAACGAUUUUUCGGCUGACAUCCAGUUCAACAAAGGAUUAGUACAAUAGCUCGCAAUGGUACAAAAAGUGAGGGAUGAAUGUGGAGGUUCCGAUUGAGAAGUGUUAUCCUAAGUGGUUGAGAGAAGCGGAAGAAGUUUUACUUUCACGCACUGAUGGAAGAGCUCGGCACAAAUCGCUCGAGAAGCUGUUAAAUGGGUCGGGAAAAUCGUUGCCGGAGAAUAGUGCUGCGGGGAAGUGAGCUCUAGACGGUAAUAGUAAACCCUCGGGGUGAUUGAUUUGAGUUUGUGUUUUGAGUUAUGGACUAGAAGCUUACCGGUGAUGGAAUGGUGAAAGCGUGAAGUAAGAUGGAUAUGGGAAGUGCACGUAAUUGAGAUCAGCAUUCUACAACUUCCAAGAGUUUUCGGAAUAUCAGUCGAUCAGCACUUUUACACCUAUCCAAUUUUCUGCCAGAACAUAAAAAUUAAGUUCCUCCUGGUACCGGUGCAACAGUCGGUGAAGGCAGCUGUUGGAAGGUAGCAUAUUUCCCACAUCUGUUACAUGCAUUGAGAGUAC